rnacentral:rRNA from 1 species
GUAGGUGGCAAGCGUUGUCCAGAAUUAUUGGGCGUAAAGCGCGCGCAGGCGGUUCUUUAAGCCUGAUGUGAAAGCCCACGGCUCAACCGUGGAGGGUCAUUGGAAACUGGAGAACUUGAGUACAGAAGAGGAAAGCGGAAUUCCACGUGUAGCGGUGAAAUGCGUAGAGAUGUGGAGGAACACCAGUGGCGAAGGCGGCUUUCUGGUCUGUAACUGACGCUGAGGCGCGAAAGCGUGGGUAGCAAACAGGAUUAGAUACCCUGGUAGUCCACGCCGUAAACGAUGAGUGCUAAGUGUUAGGGGGUUUCCGCCCCCCUUAGUGCUGCAGCUAACGCAUUAAGCACUCCGCCUGGGAGUACGGCCGCAAGGCUG